ACAAUGGGCGCAAGCCUGAUCCAGCCAUGCCGCGUGUGUGAAGAAGGCCUUCGGGUUGUAAAGCACUUUAGGCNGGGAGGAAGGNCAGNNAAUUAAUACUUUGCNGUNNUGACGUUACCNACAGAAUAAGCACCGGCUAACUCCGUGCCAGCAGCCGCGGUAAUACGGAGGGUGCAAGCGUUAAUCGGAAUUACUGGGCGUAAAGCGCGCGUAGGCGGUUNNUUAAGUCNGAUGUGAAAUCCCCGGGCUCAACCUGGGAACUGCNNUCGAAACUGGCNAGCUAGAGU
rnacentral:rRNA from 1 species